rnacentral:rRNA from 1 species
UACGAAGGGGGCUAGCGUUGCUCGGAAUCACUGGGCGUAAAGCGCACGUAGGCGGCUUUUUAAGUCAGGGGUGAAAUCCUGGAGCUCAACUCCAGAACUGCCUUUGAUACUGAGAAGCUUGAGUCCGGGAGAGGUGAGUGGAACUGCGAGUGUAGAGGUGAAAUUCGUAGAUAUUCGCAAGAACACCGGUGGCGAAGGCAGGUCUCUGGGCCGAUACUGACGCUGAGGAGCGAAAGCGUGGGGAGCGAACAGG